GCCCCAGUAGCUCAGCGGUAGAGCGCCUGUCUUGUAAACAGGAGGUCGAGAGUUCAAUUCUCUCUUGGGGCU
rnacentral:tRNA from 1 species